ACUCCUACGGGAGGCAGCAGUGGGAAUAUUGGACAAUGGGGAACCCGUAGCAUCCAGCCAAUGCCGCAGUGUGUGAAGAAGGCCCUGAGGGGUUGUAAAGCACUUUUAGUCGUGAGGAAAUGCUGAUGGUUAAUACCUAUUAGUUUUGACGUUAGCGACAGAAAAAGCACCGGCUAACUCUGUGCCAGCAGCCGCGGUAAUACAGAGGGUGCAAGCGUUAAUCGGAUUGACUGGGCGUAAAGGGCGCGUAGGUGGUUAUUUAAGUUAGAUGUGAAAUCCCUGGCUUAG
rnacentral:rRNA from 1 species